rnacentral:rRNA from 1 species
CUCCUACGGGAGGCAGCAGUGGGGAAUAUUGCACAAUGGAGGGAACUCUGAUGCAGCGACGCCGCGUGAACGAAGAAGGCUUUCGAGUCGUAAAGUUCUUUUAUAUGGGAAGAUAAUGACGGUACCAUAAGAAAAAGCCCCGGCUAACUACGUGCCAGCAGCCGCGGUAAUACGUAGGGGGCUAGCGUUGUCCGGAAUCACUGGGCGUAAAGGGUUCGCAGGCGGAAAUGCAAGUCAGAUGUAAAAGGCAGUAGCUUAACUACUGUAAGCAUUUGAAACUGCAUAUCUUGAGAAGAGUAGAGGUAAGUGGAAUUUUUAGUGUAGCGGUGAAAUGCGUAGAUAUUAAAAAGAAUACCGGUGGCGAAGGCGACUUACUGGGCUCAUUCUGACGCUGAGGAACGAAAGCGUGGGUAGCAAACAGGAUUAGAUACCCUGGUAGUCCACGCUGUAAACGAUGAGUGCUAGGUGUCGGAGAAUGUCGGUGCCGCAGUUAACACAAUAAGCACUCCGCCUGGGGAGUACGUGCGCAAGCAUGAAACUCAAAGGAAUUGACGGGGACCCGCACAAGCAGCGGAGCAUGUGGUUUAAUUCGAAGCAACGCGAAGAACCUUACCAGGGCUUGACAUACUGAGGACGUACUUAGAGAUAAGUAUACUUCUUCGGAAGCCUCAAUACAGGUGGUGUAUGGUUGUCGUCAGCUCGUGUCGUGAGAUGUUGGGCUAAGUCCCGCAACGAGCGCAACCCCUAUCUUUAGUUGCCAGCAUAUAAGAUGGGAACUCUAAAGAGACUGCCGAUGAUAAAUCGGAGGAAGGUGGGGAUGACGUCAAAUCAUCAUGCCCUAUAUGCCCUGGGCUACACACGUGCUACAAUGGAAGGUACAAAGGGAAGCAACAGAGUGAUCUCAAGCAAACCUCAAGAAGCCUUUCCCAGUUCGGAUUGUACUCUGCAACUCGAGUACAUGAAGAUGGAGUUGCUAGUAAUCGCAGAUCAGAAUGCUGCGGUGAAUGCGUUCCCGGGUCUUGCACACACCGCCCGU